rnacentral:lncRNA from 1 species
AUGCACCAAACUGUCCAUGGGGCUCUCCUUGGAGCUUCAGAAUUUCCAAAUGGCCCCGAUGUGGAACGUGCACCGUUUCUGACUUUCCUCUCCCCUCCUCACGCUGAUGGGAACAUCUGCGUCCCUCAAUCUCUGAUUCUGAAGGACACAUCCCCAGAGGUGGAGAUUCUGGCGCACAACGUAAACACGGUGUUCUGCGGUCUGUCAGUCUCCGACCUUCGAGAUCUCCCUCUCUGCUGUGAACCUGGUUUGGGAACGUGGGGAUGCAGAGACCCUGCGGCAGAGAGCUCAGGGAGGGAUGGAGAAGGAGGGGCCGCUAGGAUGCGGGUCAGGAAGGCACCAGGGGUGACCUGCCCAGCUGGAAGGCCCCACUCCUGCCCUCCUGGCCCUGCCACUGCCCUCAUCCCUGGUCCCACCCCUCCACCUCCCUAGCCCCCUUUGGCCUCCCCGUGCCCCUCCUGCCCUCUAACUCUCCUGAGUUGAGCAGCCUGACCUGACAACCAGGACAGAGGAUGAGGAGGGCCCAGACACUCCUGUCUGCUCUCUCUCCCUCCAAACCCCUUCUCGCAGGCAGGAAAGCACAUCUAGGGCAGCGCAGUGAGUCACGGGGACCACCUUGAACGUGCUCCUUCCAGGGGACAUUCUCAGCUGCAACCGCAGGACCUGCUGCAGCUCGUGUGAGCAGAAGGGACUUUUAUAAGGUACAACAGAGGCCUCGUGGAAGGUGCCAGAGCUCUAAGCCUGGGGCUGGGGGCUUUAGAGAAGGUCUCUGAGCCCAAAGCAGAGCUAGGGUCCUCUAGCAGUGACCCUUGCCUCAGGCUCUGUGCCAGCCCCUGGCCCACACAUCCAGCACACUCUGCUUCUGGGAGGGAGGGGCUCUGCUUAGUGGGGAUGAGGGAGAGAGCCCUGGGUACCUUGGUAGGGGACUGCCAUUCGAGCCUCGGUUUCCUCCCCUGUGCAGUGGGGUGGCAGCCGACCUUCUGUGCUGGUGUGAGACAAGUUCACGAAGGCUGAACUUGGAGUGGCUGCUCCUUCUAAGAGCCCCACAGCUACUAGCUCACAUGAUGAGGAAUCCCAGGAGGAGAACUGGGCCGGGGGCCCGGAUCCCACCCCAGCUGGCAGACCGUCAUGGGACCGGAUGGGGUGGAGAAAGGCAUUCCAGAGGAACAAAGGAGUCAGAGCGAGUCGGGCAUGCCUGGCGGGAGAACAGAGUGGGCAGAGGCCAAGGGCCCCAGGGCUCUCAUGGGGAUGACGUCAGCAGGACUGGCUCCUGGGCACAAGCUCUGACUGGGCCUCUGUUCUCCACACGAACUGUCUUUCUGAAUCCUCCUGGCAGCUCCGUGGGGGACGAGGGAUUAUGGCCUUCAUUUCACUGGUGAGGAAACUAAGGCUUAAAGAGACUCGGUCCCUCUGUGCCCAACAGAGGGGCAGA